AAGUCGUAACAAGGUUUCCGUAGGUGAACCUGCGGAAGGAUCAUCAUUAAUUGAGACCUAGGGUUUUAACCCACCCAGGUUUUUAAAUAUUCGAUGACUUUUAGACCCAACUUUAAACCGGUGAUGACGACGGUCAUGAAUAUGGUAGGUUUUAUCAAGUUGAGGUGACCGGAAGGAGUGGAAACACGAGAUACGGUCUGUGAUGGGUUUCAAAUGAGACUAUCACAUUUGGUGUGAAAAAGAGUCUAAACUUUUGACGAGGGGUUUUUCCAUACUCGCACACCGACAUGGAAGUUACUAUAGUUGAUAAAUGGAACAGGAGUUUUACCGGAUCGUGGUUAUACACACCGGAUAAUAAAUGAAAACUUUCGGCAAUGGAUCUCUUGGCUAUCCCAUCGAUGAAGCGCAGC
rnacentral:misc_RNA from 1 species